CCAUCACUUAUGAGGACUGUUUGAGGCAGCUUGCAACAUUCCUUGUGCUUCCGGUCCAAAAUUGCCCAUACACAUAUGACGUCAGCAAAGUGGAGUGUCAGUGUCGCCCUCCAUUUGAAGUUUCCAUUACGCACAGGGUACUGCAAGCAUCAUGGAAUGGACCUGCCCUGUUGGCCACACUGUAUGGAGAUGGAGCUCACAGCCCACUUUGAGGUACGGGAUGCUAGCAGGGGACUUCAUGUUGGCAAGCAACAUACUACUCUCCAGAAGCAACUACGCCAAAGUCUCGCUUCUGUUCCAGUUUAUGAACAUGGGGAUGGUGGACCGUAGUUCAGGACACAUACGGUGUAGACACUGUGAAGUAGUUUUGGGAGGAGAGGAGGGCUGAGGCAAUAAAUCGCCUAAAAGACAGAGAUGUGGUAAUAGUAGUGGAUGGAAGAAUGGACAGUCCUGGACAUUGCGCCCAGUACUGUACAUACACUGCCAUGGAGAACGAAUCCAGGGAAAUCAUCUCUGUCAUCACU